rnacentral:rRNA from 1 species
UACGUAGGGGGCAAGCGUUGUCCGGAUUCAUUGGGCGUAAAGAGCGUGUAGGCGGCCAGGUAGGUCGGUUGUGAAAACUGGAGGCUCAACCUUCAGAGGUCGACCGAAACCAUCUGGCUAGAGUCCGGGAGAGGAGAGUGGAAUUCCUGGUGUAGCGGUGAAAUGCGUAGAUAUCUGGAGGAACACCGGUGGCGAAGGCGGCAUCCUGGACCGACACUGACACUGAGGAGCGAAAGCCAGGGGAGCAAACGGG